rnacentral:rRNA from 1 species
AUUGAACGCUGGCGGCAGGCCUAACACAUGCAAGUCGAACGAGUGGCGGACGGGUGAGUAAUGUCUGGGAAACUGCCUGAUGGAUGGGUAUAACUACUGGAAACGGUAGCUAAUACCGCAUACCAUCAGAUUUGCCCAGAUGGGAUUAGCUCGUUGUUGGGGUAACGGCUCACCAAGGCGACGAUCCCUAGCUGGUCUGAGAGGAUGACCAGCCACACUGGAACUGAGACACGGUCCAGACUCCUACGGGAGGCAGCAGUGGGGAAUAUUGCACAAUGGGCGCAAGCCUGAUGCAGGCAUGCCGCGUGUAUGAAGAAGGUCUUCGGAUUGUAAAGGACUUUAAGUUGGGAGGCGUUACCAACAGAAUAAGCACCGGCUAACUUCGUGCCAGCAGCCGCGGGAAUUC